AGGACGAACGCUGGCGGCGUGCUUAACACAUGCAAGUCGAGCGGUAAGGCCUUUCGGGGUACACGAGCGGCGAACGGGUGAGUAACACGUGGGUGAUCUGCCCUGCACUUCGGGAUAAGCCUGGGAAACUGGGUCUAAUACCGGAUAUGACCUCCUAUCGCAUGGUGGGUGGUGGAAAGAUUUAUCGGUGCAGGAUGGGCCCGCGGCCUAUCAGCUUGUUGGUGGGGUAAUGGCCUACCAAGGCGACGACGGGUAGCCGACCUGAGAGGGUGACCGGCCACACUGGGACUGAGACACGGCCCAGACUCCUACGGGAGGCAGCAGUGGGGAAUAUUGCACAAUGGGCGAAAGCCUGAUGCAGCGACGCCGCGUGAGGAUGACGGCCGUUCGGGUUGUAAACCUCUUUCAGCAGGACGAAGCGCAAGUGACGUACCUGCAGAAGAAGCACCGGCUAACUACGUGCCGAGCCGGCGC
rnacentral:rRNA from 1 species